CCCUGCCCCACUCGCCUCCUUGCCUGGAGACAUGGGGUUAGAGGGCAGGUAGCAGUGAGGAGGUAUCUCCAGUCUGUGGAGGGGUUGAGGUGUGCUCAGCAGAGGGUCCCUGGGGCUGAGCAUCAGGAGAGCAAGGUUUGCCUGCACCUUUCAAGACCAGACACUGGACCUCUGGCCCCUCCCUCAGCCCCUUUGACCGUCCUCGCCCUGGAAGCAGUGUCCUCACUCUGGGAGCGGUGCUGGCUGGUUGGAAGGUGUCCUUUCUGCCCCUGCCCCCCUCCCAAAUCCUUCUCUCGUGUCUGCCUGCUCUCCUAAUCAGGCUCGCUCAGCUGGCCUUCAGAGGGUAGCAAGUGUCUCAGGGCCCGCUGGGUGUCUUCCUGCUGGCCCUGCCCUGGGACUGGAGCUCAGGGGGUUGGCCUGUAAGCAAGAGCACCUUUCUGGGUCAUUCCAAGCACUGAGGUCCCUGGGCCCUCUCCUCCCGUCCCAUUUUGGGGGCAAGGAGCCUGUGGGCAGCCUCCAGCCUGCGGUUCUCAGCUCUCUACUUUCCAGGGUGUUCCCUGGUCCUCAGAGGGUCCCGCCUGCUGUGUCUUGCUAUCUGUGUUUUGGCUGUCGUGGGGAGAGGUCUGCUUGAUUCGGGUUGACAUGCCGUUUCUAACCUGUUUUUUGCACUUUGCAUCUUUCUCCCUCCUUUGUCUCUCCCUCUGUCCCCUCUGUGUGCACUGCCUUUCACUCCGUAGUUCUUGGGGACACAUACAAUAUUCCUUUAGACCCCCGAGAGACCAGCUCUUCGGCCACCAGCUACAGCUCUGAGUUCAGCAAGCGGCUGCUAAGCACCUAUAUCUGUAAAGUGCUGGGCAACCUGCAGUUGAACUUGCUGAGCAAGUCCAAGGUGUACGAGGACCCAGCUCUGAGCGCCAUCUUCCUGC
rnacentral:lncRNA from 1 species